GCCUCCUUAGCUCAGUGGUAGAGCAACGCUUUUGUAAAGCGUGGGUCAGGGGUUCAAAUCCUCUAGGAGGCUCCA
rnacentral:tRNA from 1 species